rnacentral:lncRNA from 1 species
UGCUUCUUAGAGUCAUUGAGAUUUUACGUUUCCAUACCGUAUUAAAGGUUCAUAAUCUUGAUAAAACAUUAAUCUUUGGUAAUACUCCUUGCUGGUUCACUUUGAUUGUUCUAUUGAGUUAUAAGAAAUGAUUUUAAUUGCAUGGUUGCUCAUAAUAUUCUGCUCGUGCAUAGAGUCAUUUAUCAUUUCACCGAGUCCCGGGCCGGGUAAUGUUCAUGCGGAGUUUCUUGCAUAUGUCACCGAGUCCCUCACUAGAGGGCCGGGUAUGUAUAUUAUAUAUAUGAUUGGUGAUGAGGAUGGUUAUGAUGAUGAUGAUGACAGAGAUGAUGUGAUGACUAUUUCACCGAGUCCCUCAAUAAAGGGCCCGGUAC